UCAAGGGAAAGACCUCCCACACCAUCACCAAACCUGGCACACAAGAGGGUGUUGUGCAUGGAAAACUUACCAGGUCCAGACAUAGUAAGGAUUGAAAUAUUGAGAGCUCUUUCUUGAUUCUAUGGGUGGUGGUGCAUGGUCGUUCUUAGUUGGUGGAGCGAUUUGUCUGGUUAAUUCCGAUAGCGAACGAGACCUCAACCUACUAACUGGAUACGCGGAGGUUCCCCUUCGUAGCCAGCUUCUUAGAGGGACUAUGGUCGUUUAGUCCAUGGAAGUAGGAGUGGAUCCUGUGGCUUAAUUUGUAAUUCUCAUAAUUUCAAACCACAACUUCUGAAAUCAUGAGAUGACACAAUGAUAAGUGUGCUUCCUCAAUGGGGAUUCACCUUUA
rnacentral:ncRNA from 1 species